rnacentral:rRNA from 1 species
UCGUGUCGUGAGAUGUUGGGUUAAGUCCGUAACAGCGCAACCUUGUCCUAGUUACCAGCACGUUAUGGUGGGCACUCUAAGGAGACUGCCGGUAGGACAAACCGGGAGGAAGGUGGGGAUGACGUCAAGUCAUCAUGGCCCUUACGGCCUGGGCUACACACGUGCUACAAUGGUCGGUACAAAGGGGUUGCCAAGCCGCGAGGUGGAGCUAAUCCCAUAAAACCGAUCGUAGUCCGGAUCGCAGUCUGCAACUCGACUGCGUGAAGUCGGAAUCGCUAGUAAUCGUGAAUCAGAAUGUCACGGUGAAUACGUUCCCGGGCCUU